GCGCUGCUGCCACCCUGGAGCCGCUUUAGGUGAGCUUUUUGGCUCUGUGAAUAAUUUCUCCGUUGCUGUCCAUGAUUUCCAGACUUCCGCUCUCACUGGAGUUCUCAGAAGAGUCAUCCCCUUCUGCUAUACGUUCUGGAACAACACCAGUGACUCGCAUCACUUCAACAUGCAGCCGUCCUGCAACCUGAAGCACAAAUACUAAUAUUCUCACCUCUCCUCCGUCCAGAUGUUUACUUUUUGCUGGACAGUCUGAGCUGUAUAUGAGAGCCUGUCACUGCCGUGCUGAUGCUGCCUUUCUGGAGAAAGCUGCUGCCUGAGCUGCUCAAGCUCACGCUCAUACAUCAACCUCUGCUCCUCAAGAGCACUCCGCUUCUCUUCCAAGUACUGCUUCUCCAAGACCUGCACCACAUUUUGGACUGGGUCUAGAAAAAGAAGAAAUGAGCGAACACAACACUUGAAUUCAAUUACUAUCGUAAUAUUUAUAUUUCAGUAGCAUUCAAAAAUUGCCAGGUUCUUUCCAAAAGCAAAGAAAAAGGCAGUCAUUGCCCCAAAGAACUUACAAUCCAAAAGUCAAAAUAAAUAUACAAAAGGAAAGGAAUACAGCGUAUAGAGAAAGUGAGAUGAGUGAUCACUGACAAACAUUUAGUUCCAUUAAUAUUUUUUGAUGUUGUUUUAAAAUAUAUUAUGGACCCCCAGGUGGAGGAAGGAGGGAGGAUAGAGAAGGGGAUGAAUUAGUAAGACCAAGAAAGUAGGACAAGGA